rnacentral:rRNA from 1 species
GUAGUUAGCCGGGGCUUCCUCCUUGGCUACCGUCACUUUCUUCGUCACCAAGGACAGAGGUUUACAACCCGAAAGCCUUCAUCCCUCACGCGGCGUUGCUGGGUCAGGCUUGCGCCCAUUGCCCAAUAUUCCCCACUGCUGCCUCCCGUAGGAGUCUGGACCGUGUCUCAGUUCCAGUGUGGCCGAUCAGCCUCUCAGCUCGGCUACCCAUCGUCGACUUGGUGGGCCGUUACCCCGCCAACUAUCUAAUCAGACAUGAGCCCAUCCUAAAGCGAUAAAUCUUUGGUACAAGAGGGAUGCCCCCCUCGCACAUCAUGCGGUAUUAGCAGCCGUUUCCAACUGUUGUCCCCCACUUUAGGGCAGGUUGCUCAUGUGUUACUCACCCGUCCGCCACUAAGUUGCAAAAGCAAGCUCUCGCAACUCCGUUCGACUUGCAUGUGUUAGGCACGCCGCCAGCGUUCGUCCUGAGCANGAUACAACUACUGA